GUAAGAAGAAAGCCCAAAGACAAAACCAGAGGCAACUGGCUGCUGCAUCGCCCACCUAGUGGCAGUAGUGUGAGCUAUGGACAAAAGAUCUAAGUCUCCAGGACAAAGAGUUGUGCAGCUGCUCAUUUUCCUGUUGACUUCUGUCUAAGACUUGGAGAUGUUUGUAAGAUUGGGACCUACCUACAGAGCUCCAGAGGGAAGUGAGAAGGAUGUUCACUUGCUGGUGAGAGAAGGAGCUGGUUCCAUCCAUUACGCAGUCCCCUGGGAGCGCUAAAUGCAACUUUAUCUCAACGGGGAGUGGACGAUGAGCAGGACGUCGCUAGAGGGAAAGAGCCUCACUUCCCGUUUCCUUUGGCAGCGCCCUUUUCCCGACCUAAGGGAGCAGACCUUCGUUGGUUGGCGUGAGGACUGGCGGGAGAGGUUUUGUGCCAGGAUCCGCACUGUCUGGGGUGAACGCUCCUCACCUUUGACCUGAACCGCCAACUUCCCAUCCUCCACUUUUGGAGAGCGCGCCUGAUAGCUGCUGCCCACCUGGGCACUGACAUCCUCCUUCCGACCGGGUGCGGAGAAAGCACAAAGGAAGUAGACCAAGGAGACUGAAGGUGGUUAUGAAGACUGUGCAUCUCUGAGGACAUCUUAAACAAAGAUGACCCAAAUCUUUGAUCUUCAAAUAGUCGAUGUGAACUGCUUAACAAAAUGCCCUGGGAAAACUCUGUCUGAAACAAGCAGCUUGGGGGUUUGAUUUCAUUAGUUACUGGACAAGAACUGGAAUGGAGUGAAAAAUCUUCAUUCAUUUCUUGGUCAGAUGGAGAGAGGAGAAAAAAAGAAGUGGGUUUCCAUUCACUUCCAUUUUCUAACUGAUCAUUAGUUAGAGAACCUUUGGAAAGGUUUAGCUCAGUUUUUUCUUCCAACUUAUCAGGUUCCUCAAGAAAUUCACUGCCUUGAGAUGACUUUGAUAACCCAUCCAAAUCCAGUGACUUAAAACCGUUAUUACAAGGGCUCUUGCUGUUGUCUGACUCUGACAUCAUUGAAUCCAACUCAGAGAUUUUGUCAAGGUAAGCAGCAUCCAUCGAUGCUUCACUGGAUGUUCUUGUCCGGUUCAUUUCAAAAGAGCGAAUAGAAUUCAACCUUUUGGAUAAACAUAAGCCUGAUUUCUCACUCAAUUUUGAAGAUAUUUCUCCAACAGAAUUUGCUAUCGUGUUCCCCUCUGAACUUUCAAAAUCUAAGUUUUGGGCAUAGCUUGUGGAACAACAGUCCCAAAAUCCUGUCUUUGGGGAAGAAAAACAUUCUGAUUUCUUUUCAUUUUCACUUCUACUUAUAUCAUCUUCUGAAGAAUCUUUAUUAGAAACAUUUGAAGAAUCACAAAAAUCAUCAAACACCAAUUUUCUGAGAUGGUUUGAGUGCUUUUUGGAACCUCCUGCUUGGACCACAGAGCUCUCUCUAUUUUCUGGAGUACUGAGCUGAAGGCAACUAAGGGACAAAGGAGUACAAGGAGCUGGAAGAUCAUAAAGUUCUUCAUCUUUGUAGGGUACACAGUCACUUGGUUUAUUCCCCCAUUCUCUUUCCAAAUAAGUAUCCAUACUUGUAUCUGUCACAUCUAACAUUACUUCUACCUGUUCUUGAUAUAGGUCUUUGUUCUUAGAACAGUUAAGGUCUGCUUUGCUGGUACUUUCCUGCCUUGCAGAACUGGUGUCACACAGUCUGCUGCUGGAAGGCUUCGCUAGGUGAGAAGAACUGGAGGUGGAUGAGCCAGGCUGCUUUCUGGCACUAUCGCCUUGAUUCUUUGACACCACAUCCUCCUCACUGCCUUUGCUCCCUUUGCCAUCUGCAGAAAGUGCUGUCUGGCAAAUGGAAUUCAUAGCUUCUUUCUCUUCACUUGAAUUUUUUAGCUGUGCAACUUGAGAUUCUAGUUCCUCUAUAUACUUAUCACUUCGUUCCAGGGCUUUCUUGAGGCGAUUGGUUUCACGCUCAUACUGUUCUACUUUGGACUGAAGAGCAGCAACUGCAAACCUUCCAAACCUACAAAGAAUGGAAAGAUAGUUAAUCUUAUAACUCAAGCUUUUUUCUUUUCAAGGUUUGAGAGUGCAAACUGUCCCAGGCUAUUCUAAUUUCACCUAACAGUGACAUUUCAGACCACUCAAUGAGUAGGGCAAAUGCCAGAUGUAUAUUUUCAAAAAAUGGUUUCCCCACUUACAUAAUAAUAAACAUAUGAUAAUAAUAGCAAAACCUAAUAGGAUAUUUUUGUGGUUAAAUCAGAUCUAUGGUAGCAGAGAGGCAGAAAUGUGCUGAUGAUUUCCCCUCGAAGAGCUGGCUGUAUCAAUUCAGCUCAUAUAUGCAUGAAGAGUUAUCCCCUAAAACAAUGGCAAAGAUUUAUGAUAACAUUUGAACAGUGGUCUACAUCUUGAAAUAUUUACAUUCAAUCAUUUUCCUAUCAUACAGCAGUGUUUUACAAUACAUUUCUUAUAUAAUGUCACCUUGUCAAACAUAAAAUGCCAAUUUGAAAUUCAGAAAUCUUAGCAGUCCCAGGAGGGGUGGUUUUAAAUACUUAUUUGGGCCCUUUCAAUUAUAGCCACCCUUGAUCUGAAGCUUUUCUGUGGCUUUUCAGAGCACUGGCCUUUAAUUUAUGUCAGCACUACUUAUUUUUGGCAUUUUACAGCUGUGUGGGACAUCUAUCUCAUUUCUUUCAACUUUGAAAUAUGAAGUCAGUGCUUGUGAUUCCAAUAUACUAGGCAAAAAAAAAAAUUUUUUUGUACACUUUCUGAAAGAGAACAUUUUGGAGAGUGACUGAAAAAGAAUUCCCUUAUUCACAAAAAGUCUACUCCUUUUACACCGGGAUUAUCUUGCUGUUAUUUCCACCAAGAAUGAGUACUGUGUUAAGCUCAGGAAACAAUUUUUGAGUACCUAGUAUAGGUUAGGUGGUAUAUUUGGGGCUGGGAACACAAAAGAUAAAAAAGACUGUCUAGCUCCAAGGGACAUAAAAUAUCUACCUUAAAUUCAAUCUUAUCACCAAAAAUAAAUUCUAUCUUUCAGGAAACUUAUGAGCCAAUAAAUAACAUAAUCCCGUGAAAAAUACCUUAUCUCCUCCAAAAUUCUUUUCAAAGCCUAUUCUUAAUCAUCUUUUUGAUGAUUUAUAUAUUGGCCCAUUUCUAAGAAUUAAGGGAUUGUCUGUUUGGAGGAAGCUAUGAGAAGGUGACUUUCAAAAAUUAUUUUUAUCUUUGGGUUUAUCUUUUUCUUCCUUUUUUCCCCUAAUUUGAAAAAUAAUUACAAUUAAGAACAUGUAUUUAGUAUUGAAAAAAAAAACUACAAAAAAAGCAGAAGCCAAUAGCAAUUGCCCCUCUUAGAAUCAACCACAACAUGUUUUCAACUCCCACUUAAUGCCCAUCACCUCCUAAACCACUAGCCCAAUUCAUUCCCCAUCUCAACCCCUACAUAAUCCCUGCACUCUUAUCACUGAAGGAAAAAGCAGAGGCAAAGGUAAAUAUAGAAUCAUAAAAUCUCAAGAUUAGAAAGGGCUUUAAAAGACAUGAUUGCUGAAUAUUGAUUUACUCACUGCAAUUAACUGAACCCCCAGAGAGAGCACGCUCCCUUCAACUUCUAAAAAAACACAGCAAAAACCACAGGUAUAACAAAAACAAAAGCAACUAUAAUAACAAGCCUCCCCAUUUUAAAGACAAAGUUUACUACUGUAUUUGGUUAAAUGAAUGAUGGGAAUUUUUCUUCUUUGUUAAAAAUGUUUUGGCUUAUAAAUGUAGUACUUCACAGAGUUGUAGUUCUGCAAGAGAACUUUUAAAAAGUGGGCAAAGACCUUUCAGUACAUUAAGUACAAAUGUUUGUUAGUUCUUGAUUGUAACUACUCUGGCAUAAUCAAAUAACCCACAUUUUUAAAUGGAAAAACUGUAGUAUGUUUAUUUAAUGCCAAUAAGCAAAAGUGACAGCCUUACAUUUGCUUAUCAAGAUAAAUUUCUUCAAGUAAAAUUUUUUAUAAUAAAGGUAUCUCCUCA
rnacentral:lncRNA from 1 species